AUACGGAGGAUCCGAGCGUUAUCCGGAUUUAUUGGGUUUAAAGGGUGCGCAGGCGGCCAUUUAAGUCAGCGGUUAAAUCGUGGGGCUCAACCCCAUUCUGCCGUUGAUACUGGGUGGCUUGAUUGCGGUAGAGGUUGGCGGAAUUCGUUGUGUAGCGGGGAAAUGCAUAGAUAUGACGAAGAACACCGAUUGCGUAGGCAGCUGACCAGACCGCAAAUGACGCUCAUGCACGAAAGUGCGGGGAUCGAACAGGAUUAGAUACCCUGGUAGUCCGCACAGUAAACGAUGAAUACUUGUUUUCGGCGAUAUAAUGUCGGAGGCAAAGCGAAAGCGAUAAGUAUUCCACCUGGGGAGUACGCCGGCAACGGUGAAACUUAAAGGAAUUGACGGGG
rnacentral:rRNA from 1 species